rnacentral:tRNA from 1 species
GCCGGAGUGGUGAAAUAGGCAGACGCGCCGGACUCAAAAUCCGGUGGCCUCCGGGCCGUGUGGGUUCGAGUCCCACCUCCGGCA